CAAGGUCGCCUUCGUCCUCGACGCGUCAUCGCACGCAGCAUCCGUCGGCAGAAGGCGUACCCACACAACACGCGUGCGUGAACGCUUCUUUUCCAGCCGGCCUUCUUCUCUCCUCUCUUCUGUCCCGACUGAGUGUCUUUGGCCGCCAUGGAGACGCGCGCAGACAUGGUGCGCCGGGGGCCUGCGCACUCUGGCCGUGCCGCCCCUGAUCUGUACGACGAGCGGCAGCGCCAGACCAAAGCUCUGGCGCUGUGGGAGCGGCAAAAGGCGGCGUGGGCACGCAUGCAAACGCACCUCACCUCCGCGAACACCGCGUCGUCGUCUGCUGCCAACAAUGGACACCGCCACGAGCCAUCGUCCACGGUUUCGUUUUCGCAUACAUUUGCAUCGGCUGGCACUGGCGGGGCUGCCACAGCACGCAACUUCAUUGGAGCGACCACCGCCGCAAGGGCGAAGCGGGAGGACUUCGGCAUGCUCGCCGUGGCGCAGCCCCAGACGGCCAAUGACGGCAGCCACGUAUGGGAGGGAUUGCUGCGUUGCACGGACGCGCGAUCGUCGCGGCGGCUGGUCCCGAUUGGUCGCACGUCGUUCCCGUAUCAGCUGUACAGCGAGGCUCGCGACCCGACGACGCUGCCGGAGGAUCACAUGACUUACACGCGCGUCGUGUCUAAAGAAGACGUGGCGGCCGUACAGAAUACGACGGCGAGGUCUCACCGCUCCCUUGACUUGACCAUGAAGCGGGUGGAGCAGCGCGCUACAGCACAGAGUCGCGUGCUAGCGGCGAUGAUGGAAGCCGUAGCUGAUGCCUCCGGGGGCACCACCGAGUCGGAAGUGGCAUACAUUGGGCGGCAAGGUGAGAAGGGGGGUGAUGCCGUAUCUUAUUACGAGUCGCAGUUGCGCCGCCUUGCCCCAUAUGUGCAGAAGCGGCUCGGCCACUUUCUGCAACCCCGCACCUUUUUGCACGUCGAGGGGCAUUCCGCACCGUGCGCUUCAGCCGAGGAGCUUGAGGUGCAGAAGCAUGAAUGGGCCGACGCACGACCGUCCUCAGCGCCGCCAGUGGAGUACUUUCCGCCUCCGCCGCAGACGCAGAUGUGGGCAUCCAUCCCCACAACAACGGCACCGAGUCUUAUGGCGAGCACCCUUCAGCCGGCCGGUACCGCACGUAAACAGAAGGGCUUGAAUAGCGUGGCUUCCGGCAGCGCGCACUCGUACGGCCCCAGCGUCCCGGAACAUUCAAAAGACCGAAGCGAUAGAGCGGAUGGGGAGAACGCCUUCGCGGAUGAGGUCGACAGCAUGACCGAGUGUCUGCCCUGUGGCACUGUGUGCACCGCUACCCCGUCUGAGCUGCCUUGUGACACCUCUGUCGGUUCGAUCGACGGCGACGUACACGAAAAGCGUGCGCGAACGACGCAGGUGGCCAAGCGCGGUAUCUCACAGCGUCACCAGCAGAGUCGCACGGAGGCUGGCGCGGAGCACGGAGACAACAUGCAGUCUUCCGGCCCAGCGAUGGAGAUGUCCACGCGCAGCCUGUUCUUCCAGACGCGCCCACACGAGCUGCUGCAGGGCACCGUGACGCUGUGUAACACUGGCACGACAACCAUCUACUUUAGCUGGGUACCUGUGGACACCAUCGAAGAGCAGCUUAGGCAGCUCGACCAAGACUCUGGAGCCGCCGCCGCGGCUGAUAGCAAGGCGGCUGAAAACGGAGAAGUGAGGGAGAAAGGCGCGAACAAAGAGCACCGGCAAACGCUGAGCGACCGAGAUGGAACCGACGCCACGAGAAUCACGCACUCCCUCGCCGUCCAUCAACGUACUGCACGCGAAACCUUCUUCUUUCUUUCCUCCCCGAUGAACGGUGUUGUGCUGCCGGGUGAAGAAGGCAUCUUCGCCUUCUCGGUGCGCGCGAAUCGUGCCGGCCUCUUCCAGCACACGUACGAGCUGCUUACUGUGCCGCCAGCGCCGGAGCGCAUCUUUGUGUGCCUGCGCGCGCUCGUCCAGAGCGACGGCCCGUCGUUUGAGUGGCUUGCCGCGCCGGUGGCAGAGGCUAUCGAAGCCAAGGUGACUCUAGAUACCCAGCGUCGACUUGUGCAGACGAUCAGCAUGAACGUGGACGCCAUCGAGGGCUCUGCCUUGUCGACGCACAUCAAAGCGCUCGAUGGGGCGUCUGAGGCCGCCACGGCAGCCGAGCGGAAGCGCCGACGGGCGCAGGAGGACGCCUGGAACCUCGCGAACCGGUUCACCUUCGAUCACAUCCCCUACGCAGCUGCCGUGUACGACAAGCUGGCGCGACUGUACACAGUGGUGCAAGAGACCUGCCGAACGCUGAGCCGCAAACAGAAUGCCAAGACAGGCGCAGCCCCGGAAAAUGCGGCUGUUGCCACGGCAGCAGCAGCCCUGGACGCGCGUACGAAGCCGUUCACAUCACACGCGGCUCUGCCAGCUCCGGCACCACCACCCCAACAGGAACCUGUAGCACCGACGGCGGAUAUCGUGGCGACCGCCUCAGGCCCGGCGCAAUGGGAUGGCUCCCUGCUCCUGUUGAUGAAGCAGAUGAUGGCAGUGCGCGACGCACCAACGCGGCAGACAUUCUUCGAGGCCUUUCUCGUCCUCCUCCGCGCGGCUCGAGCGUCGCGGCAGUGCAACAGCUGCGGUGGGGGCACCGAGGGUGAGGAGCAGGAGACGCUGCCGCUGCCGGUGCUCCUGGCGAGAGCCGCCACGGCCCUCGCCGACCGCGUGAGGGGCCGCCGUGCCGCGAUGCUGGAAAAGGAGUGUGAGGAUAUGCUCGGGCAGAAGGUGGCCCCCGCUGCGACGCCCUUCAUGCAGGCCUUCGCUGCAGCCAGCGGUACCUCUAUCACGAGAGAAACGGUCGGCGGGACCGCUGGUGGCUCGCAGAGCGUCAAUAGCCGAAAGAGGAAUGUCUCAACUCGAGGCAGGAGUGGAGAGACCACGGUCGGCGAUGGCGUCGCUUGUGCGGGCGGUGCCGACGCCUCUGCAUUGGGCGUCACCGAAGCGACAAAGGCGCAGCGUGUCGUGUUGGACUCGAUCCCUGCCGAGGAGCUGCUAAGCUUCAGCGCCAUUCAGCCCAUCCCGAAAGCCCUGGCAGCGCUCGAAACAGCGGAGAAGGCGGCGGUGCGCGCUCAGCGAGAGUCGGAUCUGGCGGCAGAGCGGAGUUCAUGGAUCGAGCUGUAUACGACGGCAUUUCUCGAAGUGAUCGACGCGGCGUGCGACCGGGGCCCGCUCUCGGCGUGCACUGCGGCGCGCCUGGCUGAGCUAGAGGACAUCCAAAUGAGCGCGUUGCUGCCCAUUGACCUGAGCGCCGAUCCGAUCAUUCCGCUCACAACGGGCAAGGGAGGAAAACGCAAGUAGUUGGCUCGACCGAGACACAUGGCAGACGCAGUUGCGAGUUCGUGUGCACCUGUGCGUGGGUGCUGUGCGCAUCCCCGACGGUCAUUGACGCGUAACGGCAGCAUGUGACUGUCGGCGAUACCGCUAUUCAUGCAUGCGCCAACUCCUUGAUGGGCGUCUAUAUGUGUGUGUCUCCAGGUACCUGCUGCAGUGCCGUGGUGUCCCUCCUCUUCCCGCCGCCUUUUAGGUUCUCUGUUCUUUCGCCAUGGAUGUACAUGUACAUGUAGCACUGCACCCACGAAUGAUUCGACUCAGCUCCGCUGUUUGUUAUAUGUAUAUGAGUCAGUGCCUUUGUUUUUCUUUGCACAUGCGAGGCGGCACAAGCGCGUGGCCACGCGCAUAUAGAGUUGGGGGUGCCGAGCUGCCGGUCGCUAUGCUCCCUCUCCCUCUGUAGUGGCAGAUGGUGAUUUGGUGGUGAGGUAACCAUGUCGGAGUCAAUGCACGCGUAACCGAUCACAUACACACAGACACACACGCACAUACAUGUCAGCCGCUCUUUCUUGUGCACAGCGUCGCUUGCCAUUCACCACUAUCGCCAUACCACUGACGACGAUGGAGCAUCUUGGGGAUGUGUGGCGCAUGACAACGGUCAAACAAAGCAGUAGACGAUGUAGUCUAAUCAGCAGCGAACUCGACGGGAUGAAGGACGUCAGUAUCACGCCGCAUGCGCUCCUAAGGG
rnacentral:misc_RNA from 1 species